rnacentral:rRNA from 1 species
UACGUAGGGUGCGAGCGUUAAUCGGAAUUACUGGGCGUAAAGCGUGCGCAGGCGGUAAUGUAAGACAGAUGUGAAAUCCCCGGGCUCAACCUGGGACCUGCAUUUGUGACUGCAUUGCUGGAGUGCGGCAGAGGGGAUGGAAUUCCGCGUGUAGCAGUGAAAUGCGUAGAUAUGCGGAGGAACACCGAUGGCGAAGGCAAUCCCUGGGCCUGCACUGACGCUCAUGCACGAAAGCGUGGGGAGCAAACAGG